rnacentral:rRNA from 1 species
CCUACGGGAGGCAGCAGUGGGGAAUUUUGGACAAUGGGCGAAAGCCUGAUCCAGCAAUGCCGCGUGAGUGAAGAAGGCCUUCGGGUUGUAAAGCUCUUUUGUCAGGGAAGAAACGGUGAGGGCUAAUAUCCCUUGCUAAUGACGGUACCUGAAGAAUAAGCACCGGCUAACUACGUGCCAGCAGCCGCGGUAAUACGUAGGGUGCAAGCGUUAAUCGGAAUUACUGGGCGUAAAGCGUGCGCAGGCGGUUUUGUAAGUCUGUCGUGAAAUCCCCGGGCUCAACCUGGGAAUUGCGAUGGAGACUGCAAGGCUAGAAUCUGGCAGAGGGGGGUAGAAUUCCACGUGUAGCAGUGAAAUGCGUAGAGAUGUGGAGGAACACCGAUGGCGAAGGCAGCCCCCUGGGUCAAGAUUGACGCUCAUGCACGAAAGCGUGGGGAGCAAACAGGAUUAGAUACCCUGGUAGUCCACGCCCUAAACGAUGUCUACUAGUUGUCGGGUUUUAAUUAACUUGGUAACGCAGCUAACGCGUGAAGUAGACCGCCUGGGGAGUACGGUCGCAAGAUUAAAACUUAAAGGAAAUUGACGG